rnacentral:tRNA from 1 species
GGGCCAGUGGCGAAACCGGCAAACGCGCGGGACUUAAAAUCCCGUGGGCGAAAGCCCUUCUGGGUUCGACUCCCAGCUGGCCCACCA